CCUACGGGCGGCAGCAGUGAGGAAUAUUGGUCAAUGGUCGGGAGACUGAACCAGCCAAGCCGCGUGAGGGAUGAAGGUACAGAGUAUCGUAAACCUCUUUUGUCAGGGAACAAAGGCGGGGACGUGUCCCCGGAUGAGUGUACCUGAAGAAAAAGCAUCGGCUAACUCCGUGCCAGCAGCCGCGGUAAUACGGAGGAUGAGAGCGUUAUCCGGUGUUAUUGGGUUUAAGGGGUGCACAGGCGGUCUGUUAAGUCAGCGGUAAAAGCCCGGGGCUCAACCCCGGCCCGCCGUUGAAACUGGCAGUCUCGAGUUGGAGAGAAGUAUGCGGAAUGCGCGGUGUAGCGGUGAAAUGCAUAGAUAUCGCGCAGAACUCCGAUUGCGAAGGCAGCAUGCCGGCUCCACACUGACGCUGAGGCACGAAAGCGUGGGUAUCGAACAGGAUUAGAUACCCCAGUAGUC
rnacentral:rRNA from 1 species